rnacentral:rRNA from 1 species
GAUGAACGCUGGCGGCGUGCUUAACACAUGCAAGUCGAACGGAAAGGCCCAAGCUUGCUUGGGUACUCGAGUGGCGAACGGGUGAGUAACACGUGGGUGAUCUGCCCUGCACUUCGGGAUAAGCCUGGGAAACUGGGUCUAAUACAGGAUAGGACCAAUUCUAGGAUGUUGUGGUGGAAAGUUUUUUCGGUGUGGGAUGAGCUCGCGGCCUAUCCGCUUGUUGGUGGGGUAAUGGUCUACCAAGGCGUCGACGGGUAGCCGGCCUGUGGGAGUGUACGGCGACAUUGGGACUGAGAGACGGCCCAGACUCCGACGGGAGGCAGCAGUGGGGAAGAUUGCACAAUGGGCGCAGGCCUGAUGCAGCGACGCCGCGUGUGGGAUGACGGCCUUCGUGUUGUAGACUCCUUGCGCUAGGGACGAAGCGUUUUGUGACGGUACCUGGAGAAGAAGCACCGGCUAACUACGUG